UACGGAGGGGGCUAGCGUUGUUCGGAAUUACUGGGCGUAAAGCGCGCGUAGGCGGCUUUGUAAGUUAGAGGUGAAAGCCCGGGGCUCAACUCCGGAAUUGCCUUUAAGACUGCAUCGCUUGAAUCAUGGAGAGGUGAGUGGAAUUCCGAGUGUAGAGGUGAAAUUCGUAGAUAUUCGGAAGAACACCAGUGGCGAAGGCGACUCACUGGACAUGUAUUGACGCUGAGGUACGAAAGCGUGGGGAGCAAACAGG
rnacentral:rRNA from 1 species